AUGUCAUGUUUUUUAGCUAUAUGCCUCUUUUUUUUUUUUUUUGCCAUACCAUGCAGCAGGUGGUGUAUUAGUUCCCCAACCGGGGAUCAAACCCAAAUCCCCCUGCAUUGGAAGCAUGGAGUCUUCUGGACCACUGCUGGACCACUGAGGAAGUCUCUGUCUGUGCCAUUUUUGAUUUCUCAUAUUGGCGACCAUUGGAAUCUAGUGGUGGCAGUUGAACUGAAGAAAGGAGGUGGGCUUGCCAUAGUUGAGGAAGACAGAGACUGGAGGUGGCUCUUGGAUCCGUCUGAGUUGGGGACUAGGAGAUAAGAUGCUGGUGCUUCUUACUGUCCCUUGGUUUGCCGGGAGGCUCUUAAUGACCUACAGAUGCAAGAUGUCUCCGGGGCCAUGGUCGACGGUCCUCUUGUUCACAAUGAUUCCGUCUCCUUCCGUUUAGGAGCACCCCUCCUUGCCCAUUGCCGGCCAGGAGACACACUGCAAGUGGCGGGGUCAGGGUAUCAGGAGACCCACAGGCCCCCUGUGGGAAUCUUUCAGCACCCUCACCACAAGUGACUCGGCAAUGGAACGUUGCUUACAAAACCCUGAGCUCCAUGCUGUACUUGCUGUGAGACAGGUGAAGGGGGCCACCACCUCACUCCUGCAGCCCAUGUCACCUGGAGUGCUCCGCAAAGUGGAGUCCACACCCUGAGCCCGCUCACCCAGGCGUCACACAGUCCUCCCAGGCUUGCUUUCCCCCACACAGUCCUUGUGUGACUGAAAAAGAAAAGUUGAGAAAUCCAGAUGUCCAGCUCAAUGACUUAGCAAAGCGAACUUUGCCUUGGCAUCGCCCAAGUCGAGAAUUCAAAUGUCUACAUCCUCAUCCCCCUCCCAUCACUUCCUUCUCCCUUCCACCAGUGAGCACGCACCUGAUUUUUGGGGUCAUCUCUUGGCUUUUCAUAACUUUACCAAUUGUAUCAGCCUGUUUGGGGUGCUGGGACAAAGUGUCACGGACAGUGGCACUUAGAAACAGCGAAAGUUUAUUGCUCACCAAGGCUUGCCGUCAGAGAUCAAGGUACCAUCAGCGUGGGGGAGGGUCUUCUUCCCAGGUUGCAGACUUCUCAUUGUAUCCUCACUGGGUAGGAGGACUGAAGAAACUGGAGCCUCUUUGAUGAAGACACUCAUCCCAUCUUGAGGACUUCACCUUCAUGAGCUCAUGACCUGAGCACCUCUCCCAGGCCCCCACCUCCUAAUAAAUACCAUUAGGGCAUUAGAUUUCA
rnacentral:tRNA from 1 species